rnacentral:rRNA from 1 species
CCUACGGGGGGCAGCAGUGGGGAAUAUUGGACAAUGGGGGGAACCCUGAUCCAGCCAUGCCGCGUGUGUGAAGAAGGCCCUCGGGUUGUAAAGCACUUUCAGUGAGGAAGAACGCCUGGUGGUUAAUACCCAUCAGGAAAGACAUCACUCACAGAAGAAGCACCGGCUAACUCCGUGCCAGCAGCCGCGGUAAUACGGAGGGUGCGAGCGUUAAUCGGAAUUACUGGGCGUAAAGCGCGCGUAGGUGGCUUGAUAAGCCGGUUGUGAAAGCCCCGGGCUCAACCUGGGAACGGCAUCCGGAACUGUCAAGCUAGAGUGCAGGAGAGGAAGGUAGAAUUCCCGGUGCAGCGGUGAAAUGCGUAGAGAUCGGGAGGAAUACCAGUGGCGAAGGCGGCCUUCUGGACUGACACUGACACUGAGGUGCGAAAGCGUGGGUAGCAAACAGGAUUAGAUACCCUGGUAGUC